GCCUUCGUGGUGAUGUGGUCAGCACUCUCGACGCGUAACCGAGAGACCCGUGGUUCGAUUCCAAGCGAAGGCG
rfam:Stegodyphus mimosarum contig9285, whole genome shotgun sequence.